rnacentral:rRNA from 1 species
GACGAACGCUGGCGGCGUGCCUAAUACAUGCAAGUAGAACGCUGAAGAGAGGAGCUUGCUCUUCUUGGAUGAGUUGCGAACGGGUGAGUAACGCGUAGGUAACCUGCCUUGUAGCGGGGGAUAACUAUUGGAAACGAUAGCUAAUACCGCAUAACAAUGGAUGACCCAUGUCAUUUAUUUGAAAGUGGCAAAUGCUCCACUACAAGAUGGACCUGCGUUGUAUUAGCUAGUAGGUGAGGUAACGGCUCACCUAGGCGACGAUACAUAGCCGACCUGAGAGGGUGAUCGGCCACACUGGGACUGAGACACGGCCCAGACUCCUACGGGAGGCAGCAGUAGGGAAUCUUCGGCAAUGGGGGCAACCCUGACCGAGCAACGCCGCGUGAGUGAAGAAGGUUUUCGGAUCGUAAAGCUCUGUUGUAAGUCAAGAACGAGUGUGAGAGUGGAAAGUUCACACUGCGACGGUAGCUUACCAGAAAGGGACGGCUAACUACGUG